CAAUAGCGUAUAUUUAAGUUGCUGCAGUUAAAAAGCUCGUAGUUGGAUUUCGGGUGGGAAUGGCCGGUCCGCCGUUUCGGUGUGCACUUGCUACGCCCACCUUGCUGCCGGGGACGUGCUCUUGAGUUCACGCUCGGGACACGGAGUCGGCGAGGUUACUUUGAGUAAAUUAGAGUGUUCAAAGCAAGCCUACGCUCUGAAUACAUUAGCAUGGAAUAACACGAUAGGACUCUGGCUUAUCUUGUUGGUCUGUGAGACCAGAGUAAUGAUUAAGAGGGACAGUCGGGGACAUUCGUAUUUCAUUGUCAGAGGUGAAAUUCUUGGAUUUAUGAAAGACGAACUACUGCGAAAGCAUUUGCCAAGGAUGUUUUCAUUAA
rnacentral:rRNA from 1 species